rnacentral:rRNA from 1 species
UACAGAGGGUGCAAGCGUUAAUCGGAAUUACUGGGCGUAAAGAGUACGUAGGCGGAUACUUAAGUCAGAUGUGAAAGCCCCGGGCUUAACCUGGGAACUGCAUCUGAAACUGGGCUUCUAGAGUAUGGUAGAGGAUAGUGGAAUUUCUGGUGUAGCGGUGAAAUGCGUAGAUAUCAGAAGGAACACCAGUGGCGAAGGCGACUAUCUGGGCCAAUACUGACGCUGAGGUACGAAAGCAUGGGUAGCAAACAGG